CCCAUAUGUCAGUCAACUAAUCUUUGCUUCCUGGUUCUCCUGGCUGUCAGAGUUGUAUCACCGUUCACCCGGCGUUAUCAUCAAUUGAACAUAGAAAAUCAGAACAGCAUCAAUGGCGUUCCGGAAGGCCUUGAAAGGGACAGCUAUCAUCGGGACCGGGGCGGCCGCUGCUCUUCUGGGCCUAUCACAACUGUCGGAAUACAGAAAGACGCAGAAUAAAUGGGCACGGCUGGCGUACGUAGCGGCGGAGGGGGAGUUAAAGCAGCCGUUUAAAGAUGAGCUCCCAACCAGACAGGCUCAGCUCUCCACCCUGCAAGACACUGAGGAGUUUGACGUCCUUGUCGUAGGGGAGGGGCCACGGGCUCCGGAUGUGCCUUAGACGCUGUCACACGCAACCUCAAGACUGCCCUGGUGGAGAGGAAUGAUUUCUCAUCGGGGACCAGCAGCCGGAGCACCAAGCUCAUCCACGGGGGAGUACGAUACCUCCAAAAGGCCAUCAUGAAGUUAGAUUACGAACAGUACAUGAUGGUGAAAGAGGCUCUCCACGAGCGCUCCAACCUGCUAGACAUCGCCCCUCAUCUGUCUGCCCCACUACCCAUCAUGCUCCCUGUUUACAAAUGGUGGCAGCUGCCU